rnacentral:rRNA from 1 species
AGUGAACGCUGGCGGUAGGCCUAACACAUGCAAGUCGAGCGGCAGCACAGUAAUAGCUUGCUCUUACGGGUGGCGAGUGGCGGGCGGGUGAGGAAUACAUCGGAAGCUACUUUUUCGUGGGGGAGAAAGUAGGGAAACUUACGCUAAUACCGCAUACGACCUACGGGUGGAAGCAUGGGAUCUUAGGACCUUGCGCGAUUGAAUGAGGCGAUGUCGGAUUAGCUAGGUGGCGGGGUAAAGGCCCACCAAGGCGACGAUCCGUAGCUGGUCUGAGAGGAUGAUCAGCCACACUGGAACUGAGACACGGUCCAGACUCCUACGGGAGGCAGCAGUGGGGAAUAUUGGACAAUGGGCGCAAGCCUGAUCCAGCCAUACCGCGUGGGUGAAGAAGGCCUUCGGGUUGUAAAGCCCUUUUGUUGGGAAAGAAAAGCAGCAGGUUAAUACCCCGCUGUUCUGACGGUACCAAAAGAAUAAGCACCGGCUAACUUCGUG